AAAACUAGUAAGGGACGGAGGGACAUUACCGAGUUUACAACUCCCAAACCCAAUGUGAACGUUACCAAACUGUUGCCUCGGCGGGGUCACGCCCCGGGUGCGUCGCAGCCCCGGAACCAGGCGCCCGCCGGAGGAACCAACCAAACUCUUUCUGUAGUCCCCUCGCGGACGUAUUUCUUUACAGCUCUGAGCAAAAAUUCAAAAUGAAUCAAAACUUUCAACAACGGAUCUCUUGGUUCUGGCAUCGAUGAAGAACGCAGCGAAAUGCGAUAAGUAAUGUGAAUUGCAGAAUUCAGUGAAUCAUCGAAUCUUUGAACGCACAUUGCGCCCGCCAGUAUUCUGGCGGGCAUGCCUGUCCGAGCGUCAUUUCAACCCUCGAACCCCUCCGGGGGAUCGGCGUUGGGGAUCGGGACCCCUCACACGGGUGCCGGCCCCUAAAUACAGUGGCGGUCUCGCCGCAGCCUCUCCUGCGCAGUAGUUUGCACAACUCGCACCGGGAGCGCGGCGCGUCCACGUCCGUAAAACACCCAACUUUCUGAAAUGUUGACCUCGGAUCAGGUAGGAAUACCCGCUGAACUUAAGCAUAUCAAUAAGCGGAGGAAA
rnacentral:rRNA from 1 species